rnacentral:rRNA from 1 species
UACAUAGGUCCCAAGCGUUGUUCGGAUUCACUGGGCGUAAAGGGUGCGUAGGCGGUCGGGUAAGUCUGAUGUGAAAUCUCACAGCUUAACUGUGAAACUGCAUUGGAUACUAUUCGGCUUGAGAGUUGGAGGGGGGACUGGAAUUCUUGGUGUAGCAGUGAAAUGCGUAGAUAUCAAGAGGAACACCAGUGGCGAAGGCGAGUCCCUGGACAACUUCUGACGCUGAGGCACGAAAGCUAGGGGAGCAAACAGG